UACGUAGGGGGUGAGCGUUGUCCGGAGUUACUGGGCGUAAAGCGCACGCAGGCGGUCUGUUAAGUUUGGAGUGACAGUUGGUGGCUCAACCACCAAAGUGCUUUGAAAACUGAUAGACUUGAGGGCUUCAGAGGGACACGGAAUUCCGGGUGGAGUGGUGAAAUGCGUAGAGAUCCGGAGGAACACCAAAGGCGAAGGCAGUGUCCUGGGGAGUACCUGACGCUCAGGUGCGAAAGCCAGGGGAGCGAACGGG
rnacentral:rRNA from 1 species